GGGAAGAGCCCAGCACCGAAGCCUGUGGCCGUUUGGUCACUAGGCAAUGUGGUGUUUAGGUUGGUUCUUCGAAGUUGUUGCUCCAUUCUAAGUCCUGUUAUGAAUACGGUAUUAUUAACAUGGCCCACAGAGGGUGAAAGGCCCGUGUGAGUGGAGUGAUAGCUUCUUGAGCUAACCUUGGAGUCGGGUUGUUUGUGAAUGCAGCCCAAAGUGGGUGGUAAACUCCAUCCAAGGCUCAAUACUGGCACGAGUCCGAUAGCGAACAAGUACCGUGAGGGAAAGUUGAAAAGUACUCUGAAGAGAGAGUAAACAGUACGUGAAACCGCUCAGAGGUAAACGAGUGGAGUUGAACUGCAAGCCCUGGAGAUUCAGCUGGUAAGCAUGGUUUAAACUUGGUUAUUUUGGUCGGCUUCGAAGGUCUGCCUACCAGCAGGUCGUUGCCCUUGGGUAGCGAUUCGCGUCGCACUUAUCAAGUGCUGCGAGCCUUUGUUGUCGCGGACCGGUUUGCCAGUGCACUUCUUCAGGGUGUUCACCACGACCGGCGCUGCUGUCUGUCUACUGUGGUCUAACCGUUUGUGCUUAGCCUUUACGGGCUAGGUCUUGCGGAAUGGCAGGUAACUUGUUGGCUUUCGGGCUUUCAGGUGUAAUAGCUGAUUACAGUGGAGUUGUGCGGUGCGUCGGAGACGGCGGCUACAGUGUGUGCGUGGGUGAUGGUUCAGUUGUCGGGGUGCGAGUCUGGUUGUCAUGUUGCCUGUUUAUGCAGGCCUGGCAGUGGCUUGUCCUUGUGCAAUUGGCGUUUGCCUAUGUGACAUUUAUUGGAGCCAAUAGUCUGUGGUGUAGUGGUAAACUCUCUACUCGACCCGUCUUGAAACACGGACCAAGGAGUUUAACAUGUGCGCGAGUCAUUGGGUAUUUGAAACCUACAGGCGCAGUGAAAGUAAAUGUUUGGCUUUGCCAAGCAGAGGUGAGAUCCUGUUGUUUCUCAUGCGUGGUACUACCAAGUAUUGGAGCGGCAGGCGCAUCACCGGCCCGUCCCAUGGUGUGGUCAUGGUCUCUUGGGGCUGUGCAUCACCGGGGCGGAGCAUGAGCGCACACGUUGAGACCCGAAAGAUGGUGAACUAUGCUUGUGCAGGUUGAAGCCAGAGGAAACUCUGGUGGAGGACCGCAGCGAUUCUGACGUGCAAAUCGAUCGUCAAACAUGAGUAUAGGGGCGAAAGACUAAUCGAACCAUCUAGUAGCUGGUUCCCUUCGAAGUUUCCCUCAGGAUAGCCGCUA
rnacentral:sRNA from 1 species